ACUCAGCAAACGCCCGGCUUCAAGAGGCCUCAGAGAGCCAGGGGAGCGAGCUUCCAGCCUGAAGAACAAGCUGUUGUUGCUGUUUAUCAAGGGAGAGCAGAUACAUCAGUGUCUUCUGACAGAAAAAGUGAUCGCCAUCAGGAUGGUGAUGACCACGAUGAUCCCUAGGAUGACGAGCAGGAUGCGGUUCUGGAUGAUUCUAGGAGACAGCAAAGGAGAAAAAACACACACAGAUAAGUGGAAGGCCUUCCCACAAACGCCGUCCGAGGCCAGGUUGGCUAAUCAAACGGCAGCUUUGCAGGUGGGGGUGGGGAGCGUGUGUGUGUGUGUGUGUGUGUGUGUGUGUGUGCGCGCGCGAAAGAGACAUCACGCAGCUUUCUGGUUCUACAAACGAUCCACGAGGAAACGAAAGGCUCCACAUGAUUGUCACGCUGCCCUCCGAGAAAUGCUUACUGCAAAGCUAAGGCGAAUCAAAUGGCUUUCGAGGCUCAGAAAAUCAUGUAGCCUCUUUAAGUGAUCAAGGGCCCCUUGCGAGCUUCUCUUUCUAAUUUAAAAGGCGAGACAAGCCUCAUUUUUUGCAGUGUUUCCUGUUAAAGUAAAAUACUCCAAGGAAACACAUGUCAGCAAUGUACUUACCUGCACAAAAAUACCUGGGGAAAAGUAAAACAGAGACUAAGGAAGAAAAGGAUGGGAUUAAGAAACAAGUGUCAAAUGUGCAGCUUAGGCUGUGAAACCAUCAUCUGUCAGUGUGGCUCACGCUCCGUUACGCUAGGAGGAAACGUUACAUUUGCUCCAUAGCAAAAAAGAUGGAAAUGAGAAAUAUACAAUGUACUCAAGGUGCCUGUUGUGCGUCUGUUGCUGGGCCUUUACCUCCAGGGAUUCUACCUCCCUGGGUUCUGGCUGGGCUGCACGCUGAUGGGGAACCAGCAACUUAGAAGGGGGACCAGAGUGGAGACACACGCUCCCAGAUGCCUGCAGAGAGCUUCUGAUGAGGUUGUUUCAUAAUUUGUUACCUCAUUCGGAGAAAAGAGGUCGAACAUCAGAAUGCUUUGUUGAGAGUUUCAAAGGGAACCUAGGUCAAACAGCCGUGCCCACGCUCGCUCUCACAGAGCUGCACGGAAAUAGAGACAUGAGCUGGCUGGCAGUCUAGCCAGCUAUCUGUCCAGCUUAAAACCCCACGGCAAACCCCAUCCAACCCUCCUCCAAAUACCAAGCAGCAAAAGGCCUGCUGCCCUACUCCAGUCACCAAACACUGGACAUGGGUCUUCCAUGGGGAGGAGCUGGGGAGAUGAAGCUGGGCUCCCCACGGAACAGAGACCCCACACCCCUACUUUGUAUCUUCACACACAAAAAAAUCUUUGCAGGGUAUUUUCUACUUCCUAGAUGAGUUUAUUUCCUGGAAGGAUGACAUCAGGUUGUAGUUUUAGUCAGAUUCCUCCUCACCCAUCCCCUUCUUCUCCAAACCUAAACGGUUGAAUGGAAACUGUCUUAUCAGACCAACCCACUCCCUCGUGGCCCCCUAAAAGGACGAGCUCUCUCUCCUCCUGACAGGUAACAAAAUGAUCACAUUUGCUGACACGUCUUCCGCAAAACUGCCUUAGUGCCUCUGUCCACUCUCCUCGCAGGAGAUGAAUGGUCCACUUGGUCCUCAUUUAUCACUCAAGGCUUGGCUAAGAUCUGUCUCGUUUAGUUCUUCCCUUCCCCACUAGAAAGUCUGCACUCCGACAUUAAUUCUUCUGUGAUGACAGCUAAUUCAGACUUAACAGGCCACACUUACUCAAGAGGCAGGAAGAUUCUCUGUCCCCCAAAUAAAUAAAUAAAAACAGGACUUCAUGGCUUAUGAUAGUGAGGCUAAUUAUCAACACUGAUCGGUGCUACUUGGUGGCUCUGUUUAAAACCCAAAUUGAUUUUUUCCCCCUUUUCUCUGGGAGGGACAGGAGCCUUCAGAAUGGUCCCUACACAUCCCAUUUGCCCAAGUCACUGUCAAAAUCUCUAUUUACCACAGUCACCCGCAUCAGACUUGCAAAGGAAAUCAGCAAAAUUGAAACUCAGCAGUGAAACAGAUUAAAAGCAUGAAAACUCUUUAAAAUUCUGCCUUAAGUAAUCUACAGUAGUGUGUCUCUUGUACAGCUUGGUUGACAACCAUUUUAUUUGUGGGUUGAGGGCCCCAAGGCAUCCAUGAUGCUAAUUUAGAAAGGAUUAACUGUGGGUGUUACUUGUUCAAUCUGAGGCAUGGUAAGAAAUAUGAAUACACAGGAAUCCUUAAAUCCUCAGCUCUUCCCUAACCUUCCUAAUUGGGCUUCACCCCCUCCUUGGUGCACCCACAGGGCCUGGUGGCUUCCCCUCCACCGCCCGCUCUGUUGCUUCCAAGGGCCCAACCUGUGUGGACUGGGACCAUGUGGAAUUCACCUCUACCACCCCAGCACAUGGCACAGUCGCGUUGCACACAGGUACUCAAAAGAGAACUGCCCAAAGAGUGAUCGUGAAAGAAUGCAGUCUCUGGUAACUGUAAUCUUCCAUUCAAAGGAGAAUGGAGAAGUCUGUGCAAUUAAUUUGCAGGAAAAUCUCAGGAAGUCUGCAUGGAAAAGGUUAAAGUUCAAAGUUGAAGCAAGCCCCGUCAAAGAUGAAACUUCCUACCAUCACGCCUUCUCAGCACUACUUGGUCUUCCCCCUGAAGCUAGAAGGAACUCCUUUGUGCUGGGUGGGGGCGGGGUGUCAGCAGGAAAGGGCAUUUGCUUUCAAACCAAAUGCUGGCAGACAUUUGGGAGGAAGAGUAGAAGGGGAUGGGGAAAGAGUUGGAAUAGAGAGAGCUCUAAGCAAGCUUGACUGGCUGGGCCAUCCACCCCAACCUUGGACCUCAAAGGAGUUGUGCAAAUGUGAUACCCCUCAGGACCAGAAAAGUGAACUGUCAGGGCAUCUGGGUGGAUAGGACUGAGCCAGUUUGGAAGGGGGAAAUACAGGCUGGCAUUGGUGGGCCCCAUCUGUGAGGAAGCUUAGUUGCAAUCGCAGCCAGGGGCUGCCGGCCUGUAUUGCUGUAGGCAAAGCAGAAAGGAAUGCAGAGCUCGGAGACAAUCAGAAAAACCAGCUAGGCCAAGGGGUUCCCAGCUAGUGAGAUGGCAGCGAAGGAACUUGGGGAGAAGCCCAAAGUAACUUCCUCCUAACUUUGGGCAAGGGGAGGGCUUUAUGUUGAACUAGGUCUGCAGCAAGCCGUCUUAAUCUCCCUUUUGAAAAUGCAAAGUGUGUUUACCCAGUAAAUAAUUUAAGAAAGAAUAUACACUUGAAAGAAGACAUCCAUUGAAACAGCCAGGCUAAAUUGCCUCCAGGCAAAAACUUGUGCAUUUGCAUGCUGCAUUCUAUUAAGUGAGCACACUGUGGCUUUAAAAGAAUGCAGAGCCAAAAUAAAAGGAAUGUGGGCCCGAAACAUCAAGGAUUCUCCAAGUUUACAUUAUGAAUCACAGUGCUGUUGAUACAAGAUGAAUUAACCAUUUACUUUGAGGCUGAACUCACAAAGUACUAUUGAAAGUACUGAUCCCCAUGUGGAACUCAGGGAGCGGUUAAUCUUUCCAUUGCCAGUCUCCUCCCAGCCUGGAAACGAGCUCCUGCGUGUGGCAGCCGGAAUCACAGAAGGCUGGUUCCAGUGCAGGGGACAGGCGCGGCACUGCACCUGGCACAGUUCUCUGCUCUUGCUCGAGGAGCCCAGGAAUUCCACUGGAACAGGCAUUACGAGUGUUCUCCAAUAGCCAGUUCUCCUCUACUUCCAGGCAUGGACUGCACUCUUUUUUUUUUUUUUUUUUUUUUUUUUUUUGAGACGGAGUCUCGCUCUGUCGCCCAGGCUGGAGUGCAGUGGCGCAAUCUCGGCUCACUGCAAGCUCCGCCUCCCGGGCUCACGCCAUUCUCCCGCCUCAGCCUCCCGAGUAGCUGGGACUACAGGCGCCCGCCACCACGCCCGGCUAAUUUUUUUUGUAUUUUUAGUAGAGACGGGGUUUCACCGUGGUCUCUAUCUCCUGACCUCGUGAUCCGCCCGCCUCGGCCUCCCAAAGUGCUGGGAUUACAGGCGUGAGCCACCGCGCCCGGUCUGCACUCACCUUAAUGUUAGGCUUGGUCAUGGAACUAGCUUUGGCUAAAGAAAUGAGAGCAAAAGUUCUGAGUGUCACUGCCAGCUGGAGGCAUCUAACUUCCAGUGUUUGUCUCUCUAGCGGGCUCUUCCUGCGGUUUUGAUUUGGGGAGGGAGGGGCUGUAUUGUUCCAGAGAGUACAAGUUAUAGGAUGGUGGUAACAUCUUCUGCCUGGAUCCUGCAGUCAUUAUGUAAAGGGCCACUGUCCUGGAGAUGCACCUGGACUCCCAGUGGACUUGCGUUAAGCCAUUGAGGACUGGGGGUUGUCACUGCCGAAUACCAUAAGCUCUUUUACCCUGAGUGAUAACGCUACCGUCCGCCUCUCAGACAAGACGAGGCAUCUGGCCAAGCCAAGAGAGGCUCUGGUUUCAUGUAUUUCAGAAGCUAAGGUAUGAUGAAGACUGAUAAGAUUUUUUUUUUCUUGAAGAACAGGUUUUUGCCUCUUGGUUUUCAAAAGCUGGGAACCUCUUCUGACCUCUUGGUCACAACACUUUUCACUGAAGAAUCAGGAGCUUCUUCCAGCCAAUGCUCCUGUGUAUUGAUGACUGAUGAUAUCAUGCGUGAGGCCUCACCAGGCCUAGCCAGGCAUCCGCUUCCUGUGUACAGCAGAUCUACAGUGGCUGCGUUCGUUUCCCUAUUCCAAACAGCUGAUGCUACCCCAGCUCCAGGGGUACAGCUGUGACUGAGGCUGAGAUGGUCAGUACAUUCCAUGCCCCUGGCCAUGGUAACUGGACCAGGAGCAGGCUUGUGACUUAAGUCCAUCCAACAGAGUGGAUCUCAGCAACUUUGCUUGAAAUGCGGGGUCACCUGGACAGUUUGGUGUGUGGAUGUCAGGCUGGAUCCACUGCAGGCCUUUUGAUUCAUUGAGGGAAGCCAACCUAAGAAAGAAGCUGACCCACAGUGGGCAGAGAAAUAGAACCCCAGUCCUGAAGACAGAGAACUUUAAUUUUUAACUUUUUUUUUUUUUUUUUUUGAGAUGGAGUCAUUCUCUGUCUCCAGGCUGGAGUGCAGUGGUGCGAUCUCAGCUCACUACAACCUCCCCCUCCCAGGUUCAAGUGAUUCUCGUGCCUCAGCCUCCCAAGUACUUGGGAUUACAGGCACCUGCCACCAUGUCCAGCUAAUUUUUGUAUUUUUAGUAGAGAUGGGGUUUCACCGUGUUGGCCAACCUGGUUCCAAACUUCUGACCUCAGGUGAUCUGCCCAUCUUGGCCUCCCAAAGUGCUGGGAUUACAAGUGUGAGCCACCAUGCCAGGCCGACAGUGAACAUUUUUUUUUUUUUAAAUCAAACCACCCUUUCUUUGGACUUUAACUUAUAUGAGAAAAUAAACUGACUUUAUUUUCCAAAGUCAGUUUGAAUUGGGUUUUCUGUUAUUUAUGACCAAAAAGCAUUUUUAGGUUGAGUCACCCUGAUUCCAAAACCAGGUCCUUGAUCUACGGCAUAUGUGCAUUCUUCCCUCCUCUUCCAAGAGGCAUUUCCUGGCUAUGUCCCUCUCGUAUUCUCCUAUCUCCCUACACAUCUCUCUUUCCAGUACAUUGACUACAGUCCCCAGUAAAAAGUGGACCUUCCACAGUCCGAAUUUCUUUUGUCUUUUGUAUCCCUGAUGCCUAACACACAGCUUGGCAUAAAUGUUCUCAAAACAUGCUUGCUGAGUGAAGAAAUGAGAGACUCUACCUACACGUGCUCAGGGUCACGUGGUUAUUGCUCUCCUGGUUUCUAAGGACUGCUUGUAGAUAAGCACAGCUUUAGGACUUAGCUGUUAGCCACUGUCCCAUUAAGGAUGCCAGCGGAGUCCCAACUUUUUUACAAGCCUGUGUUCAUUAGCUGGAGAGUGGCAGACACUUUACAGGUUCAGAGCAGCAUCCUGUACCUGCCUUCCUGCCUGGCCGACUGGCCCUGAAUAACGAUGCCCCACUUUUGGGGUCUGACAGAACAGUAACAAUUAGCAACCGUGAGAGCAUAGGAUAAAUUCUGAGCAGAGGAACCCGGAUCUGCUUCUCUCUAGGCACUUCCCAAAACAUGGGCCAAGGGAAAGCUCUUUAAAUUCUAUAUCCAAUUCAACGUUACUAUUCACCAGAAAGAAAUGAAAACAGGAGUAGGAGAAACAGUUAAUUGUCAUCUGCCUCAAACACUCACUUUAAUUGGAAGGGUUAUUUUCAGAGCUGGGGACAUGUUUGCCUCUGAGCUAGAGCUGUGCGGUUAUCAUGCUGCCUGAUAAUGCCCAUCUUGGGUCUUCUAUGUCCUGCAUCUCUAGGAGUAAUCCUCAGCCCCAUCGCGAGAAUUCAGGGAGGCUGAUCCCACUCUGAUUCCACAGAUGGACAUAUGGCCCAGGCAGGCCCAGCCAAUGACAGCUCUCUAGCUCUUGCACUACCAUUUGCUCAAGGAUUGGUCUGCCACUCAAGCCAGAUGGAAUUCCUCUUGGGAUUCUUCCUGGAAAAUCAAGAAAAAGAUACUGUCUUUACUGAGAUUGACUGUCAGGACAGUGAGAACCUGGAGCUGCCAAGGACCAUUCUUACUACCAUACCGGACGAGGCUGCCUGAAAGAAGCCGACACCAGAGGAAUGCAGAGCCGAGAGAUAAAGAAAAAGAGACGGAUUCCUGAAGACAUAUUUGAACCCCUGCUUCCUGCUGUGUGCCUGAAACCUGAAGAGUCACACUUCAGCUUCCCAGUUACAGGAGCCAAACAAUUCCCCAUUGACUGCAGCAAGUAUGGUUGGGGAUUCUCUCGCUUUCUUUUUUUUUUUUUUUUUUUUGAGAUGGAGUCUCGCUUUGUCGCCCAGGCUGGAGUGCAGUGGCGCAAUCUCAGCUCACUGCAACCUCCACCUCCCGGGGCCAAGUGAUUCUCCUGCCUCAGCCUCCUGAGUAGCUGAGAUUACAAGUGCUGCCACCACGCCCAGCUGAUUUUUGUAUUUUUAGUAGAGAUGAGGUUUCACCAUGUUUGCCAGGCUGUUCUUGAACUCCUGACCUCAGGUGAUCUGCCCACCUCAGCCUCCCAAAGUGCUGGGAUUACAGGCAUGAGGCACUGCACCCAGCCUCUUACUUUAAAUCAUACUGAUUGUACUGGAUUGAACAGUGUCCCUGCAAAUUCAUGAGGUUCCACCUGGAACCUCAGAAUGUGAUCUUAUUUGGAAAUAGGGUCCUUUUUAUUUUUUAUUUUUAAGAGACAGAGUCUUGGCCUAUUGCCCAGGCUGGAGGGCAGUGGUGCAAUCACAGCUCACUGCAGCCUUGAACGCUUGGACUCAAGUGAUCGUCCCACCUCAGCCUCCCAAGUAGCUGGGACUACAGGCAUGCACCACCGCACCUGGCUAAUUUUUAAAUUUUUUGUAAAGACAGGGUCUCACUAUGUUUCCCAGGCUGGUCUUGAUCUCCUGGCCUCAAGAGAUCCUCUUGCCUCGGCCUCCCAAAGUGCUGGGAUUACAGUCAUGAGCUCCAUGCUGAGCCACCACCAUGCCCAGCCUGGAAAGAAGGUCUUUGUGGAUGUGAUUCAUUAGAGAUCUUUUUUAUUUUUAUUUUUUAUUUUUUUUGAGACGGAGUUUCACUCUUGUUGCCCAGGCUGGAGUGUAAUGGUGCAAUCUUGGCUCACUGCAAUCUCCGCCUCCCAGGUUCAAGUGAUUCUCCUGCCUCAGCCUCCCAAGUAGCUGUGAUUACAGGCGUGUGCCACCACGCCCAGCUAAUUUUGUGUUUUUAGUAGAGAUGGGGUUUUACCAUGUUGGCCAGGCUAGUUUCGAACUCCUGACCUCAGGUGAUCCUCCUGCCUUGGCCUCCCCGAAGUGCUGGGAUUACAGGUGUGAGCCACCACAGCUGGACUUCAUUAAGGAUCUUGAGAGGAAAUCAUUCCAGAUUUAGGGUGGCCCUAAAUCCGAUGACUGGUGUCCUUAAGAGAGGACAAAGAGGGGCACGUGAAGAUGGAGGCAGAGACUGGAAUGAUGUUGCCACAUGCCAAGGAAUGUUGGGCCACCAGAAGCUGCAAGAGGCAAAGAAGAAUUCUUCCCUUACACUUUUGGAGAGAGCAUCGCCCUGUCAACUCCUUAACUUCAGACUUCUAGUCUUCGCAACUAUGAGAGAAUAAGUGCAUUUAAGCCAUGUUGUUACGGCAGCCCUAGCAGCCCUGGAAAAUGAAUACACUGAGUGCUCGGAUCCAGACCAGCAUAUGGAGCUGGUGAUCUUAUCUUGGGUUUCGUGAUGACUGUUUUCCACGUCUCCACCUUCUUCCCCAUGGCUGCACUGCACAUUUACUGUGGAUCUACACUAAGAUCUCCUCCAAAGGACAGGUAAAUGCGUGAUCACCUGAUCCCUCACCAAAGAGUAUGAGACAGAAAGAAUGGCAAGUGUUCUCUGGGAGCUGCCAAUGACCUGCCUCCAGAGAAGCCACAUACUACAUUCACGUGGAGGUUGAGCAACCACCCUCAUUUUUGGAGCCAAACUGCUUGGAUUCGAAUCUAGGAUCUACCACACACCAGUUGUACAGCAUUGGUUAAGUUACUGCAUUCCUUCUCUGAGAUUACAUCCUCUUGACUGUUUUAGUGUGAAAAUGAAAAUGUUCUUUAUUUAUGCAGUGAUAGUAGGAGAAGAUGUACCAGUGUCUUUCCUUGGACAUUAGAAAUGUAGUCUCUCAUUGGAAAUUACUCUUUCCUACUGGGCAAAAUAAAGAGUGAACAAUCUACCAUCAGGUCUCUAUGAAAGAAAACAGUACCAAUAUAAGGAAUUGGCACGCUCCAAAGAAUCAACGCUCUGCUUUCCCUCUAUUGGUAAAAUGGGGCCAAUAAUAGCAGCAUUCUGUUAAUGAAUUACAUUAGUAAAUAAAUGGCUUAAUUCAAUGUGAAGUGCUUAGAUCAGUGCCUGGCCAAUGGUAGUUGCUCAAUAAAUAACUAUAGGAACUAUUAUUACUCCACUCCUAUCAUACUCACCCAUCUCCCCACAUUACUUCUGGAAACUCCUCCUUGUCUGGCUGUACCCCCACAUGCAGGCAGCCUCCUGCCUCAGGUGCCUUGUUCUGAAAGCCUACAAAUCCCUUCUCAGAUUCCUGCAGAUGCCCAGGGCUCAACAGGGCACAUCUGGCCUUGGUCCUGAUUAGCUUGGAUUGUCCGGUCCAGGCUGAGCUACUCGCCUGGAAUCCCUGCCUUCAGCUCCUCUGCAGCUCUGUGAGCUUCUCUGGGGAUACUCGUUGACGGCCAAGAUGCCUCUCCUGGAACAUAUUGGUGAAGACUCGGCUGCCUUGGCUUUUGUGAUGGGCUUUAUUUUCCUCUAAGAUCUGACAUUCGAUACUUACCACUUAAUAGUCAUUUAUUUAACACCUUUUUCUUUCCUGAUGUCAGGAAGGACAAACAUUUUGGCAGAGGCUUAUCAGCCACCUGCAUCUCUGCCAACUUUUGAGGGAUGUGGUUACGUUUUCUAGAUCCUAACAUCAGAACUCUCUCUCUCUCUCUCUAACAUCAGAACUCUCUCUCUCUCUCUCUCUCUGGGCUCCAGGGCCACUGCUCCUUGUCUAGUCCCCCCAGCCCAGGUGGAGGGGUGCCCUGCUGUGGCUAAGCCCUGGGCUGCUCUGUUUUCUUAGUUGGACACUGAAUGAGACCGCUGCAGAGUGUGCUGUCUAUUCAAACUUGUGAUAUCUCCUUCAUAAUCUUAAACUGACUUCACAUACCCCAAAGCAGCAUUAAUCAGAUCUGCGCAGGUGAACUCUGGGUUCUUAGGCUGGGAGGAGGGUGGGGUGGGGUAACGAUCAGAUAACAGAGCCCCCAGGUUUGUGCAGGUGAAGCCACAUCACCUGCCAGCCUGGGAAGACAUAUCCUUCCCUCUAACCAAGGAAGAAAGUCCUGUGAGGGUGGGGGAGAUCCAGUCUGCAGGCUGUAGGCAUCAGGGGCAGGGACUGGGAGAACAGGGGCAUCUGCCCUUUUUCUAAAGCGAGGGGCUGCUGCUGACUGCUGCUGGGACUGAGACCUUCUGAUUUACCAAGAUAAGCCAGAAAUGGUGUUCUCUUUGUGAAAUCUCCCAAGUUUUAAAUAUUGGCAACAAAGUCAAAGUUUUCCAAAACACUGGAUGGCCAAAGAAAGCACAUCUGUGGGGUAGACUCACCCUGUGGGCCUUCAGUCUGCGACCUCUGACUAGUUACUAAGGAAGAAAUUAAAAGGAAGAGGGAGUGGUGGUGAGCGCAUCCCUGCCUUACCCUCCUGGAGAUUCCCUUGGAGGCAGGAAAAGCCCAGCCCUCUUGACCCCUGCGGCUCUCAGAAGCCUGAAGUUCAGCCUCUGUGGCAGCAUCAAUAACUAGGGUCUACACUGAGAUCAUCCAACUUAGCCCAUAACCGAUUCCUAACCGUGGAGUCAAAGGCCAGGGAGGGGUCAACAGGAGCCAGAAACCAGCCUGUGCGCGCCUCAUGGACUCUCACGAGAAGCAUAAGCAGAGAUCAGGGCUGGACCACACAUCUGCAGCCCCCUGACCUUGGCAUGGUCUGCAGCACGUGGCUGGAAAAGCCCAGCUGGUGACUCUAGGGGAGGAUGGUGUGCAUUUUCUAUGCAGCGUGUUAUAGGUCAGGAGGCCUGGAAUGGGAAAGCCAGAGGUCUCUCUUGGAGGAUGAGGAGCAAAGGCAGCCUUGUAGGGUUGCCUCUACUUACAAUUUGCUGUGUGAUCUUCCGGAGAACAAAUAGUGCCUCAGUUUAUCCAUCUUUAAAAUGGCAGUAAACAUAUGAGAACCCAGCACCCUUGAGGAUGGGCACCAAGAACCGUAUUUGUGGAUUUGAUGAAGAUAAAGAAAACUAGUUGCCAAGGAGUAGUGUGGCCUUUGAUCACUCUCUCAGGUCCUGUAUUUGGCAGCAAUGAGUAGGAAAAUCACCCAUGAAUUAGGAGGGAUCUUCAUACAGACUAAGUCAAAAGGCAGCCUGUGUCUUGCAAAGAGACAGCGACCUUUCACUCUGUCAUUCUUUGGGGACACUCCCUUCAAGCUCCCUGGCCUUAAUUUUCACAGAUGAGGGUGAUAUCUGACCCCCUAAUUAGUUACUAGACAACACGAUGGCCCCUAAGUACCAAUAAUAAGGUGUUUCCACUCCAGGUCCUCAGCAAAGGGAACAACCUGAAAUUCUCUCCUGUGGAAGACGUGUUGAAAGCCCAACUGAGAGACAGUGUUGGCUGAGGAGCCUAGUGAACUGGGGUCCACCUCUCCUGCUGGAGGCUCUGAAGUCGACCCUGGAGCAGCAGAGCCCCCUGAGGGUCCCACCUGCACAGCAUUGCUUUGGUUCACAGCCGCACUGACCUAACACCGCCAGCCUGAGGAAAGGAGGAUGGUCAGAGCGCCCUGCAGGGCUCACUGUGCUCCCUGGAAGGAAGCUUUGGAGCCUGGUGUUUACUAACCUGCACAGUGUGUGUCCCUGCGAAGAGGUCCCACGACAAAGUGUUCUCUCUCAUCAGAGCAGGGGAAAAGGCUGAGUUUCUAUCUCACAGAUACUGACUCACGUAGCUGAAACAAUUGCCCUCUCCAAGUCAGCUGCCAGAACGCUCAGAGAGAAAUCUGUGGGCCACCUCUUACAAAUGUAUAGGCGAUUCCACAGUUUGUGUACUAGCCUCCCCGUUACUUCUUUUGUAAAUAUUCAAUCUUAUUGUGUUGCAUAUAUUUAGGUAAAUGCUCUAAUUCCUUUUGGGACCAAGACAGGUUCAUACACAGGCACUAAAAAGGUGAGAAAACAAACAAACAAAAAAUCCUCACGUCAUCACAGAUUGGCUACUUUAAUGAUUCUGCCUUUAGUUUCCCUCCUAUCCCCAAAAAUUCUGUAUCAUAUCAUACUUGGAAUAUGAGUUUUCACAUUUACCAAAAUAAUAGGGUAUCUUAAUUUUUUUUUUUCUUGAAUCUCCUUUCAUGGCCAGCAUAGAGAGGUUUCUAGAAUGAACCCAAACUUGGGACUCGGGGCCCCUGGGCUCCUCCUGUAGCCAACUGCAGUGGAUGGUGGGUCCCCUUUGUUUGGGGGAUUUACAGCAAUUGUCUUAACGACAUGGACCUCUUUUGUGAAAGCUGCAGGCGUUCCCAGCAAAUGUUGGCUGCAAAUACACUAGCCGGGAUGUUGCCACGGUCACGGCCCUUCCUCGAACAAUCUAAAGCAUAUUUCUCUCUGUAUAUAUUUGUUUUUUUAGAUGCUUUAAAGCCUGGAAAACAAUCAUAGCUGAGGCCAUUUCUGAGAUGGCACUAAAAGAACCUACUCGGAGACAGAUAAAAAUAAUGAGAAUCUUUCUGUCAGGAAAGAUUUAGAAAAUAUCACUGGCAUUAUUAAAAUUUAAUUUUUUACUCCGCUUUUUGGUUCCCCUUUCCAGUGAUAAUGAGCAGGACUGCACACCUCCGCCUUGCUAGUACUUGUUUUGUGCAAUAAAUUCAGCCUUCCAGUCUGAAGACAUUUCAGACAACAGUUUUGACUGCUAUAGGCUUAUUUUUUACCCUGUGCUAUGCUUUGAGUCUUCCUAUAAAAACCAGUUCAUGAGAUAAUUUUCCACAAGGCCAGUGGAACUAAUAAAAAUCAAUUUUGCCCAACUGGUUCAGAGAAAUCUUGGGAAUAGCCAAGGCAGAACUGCAGAAAGGGGGAAAAAAAGGAUCAAUGUAUUCACUAAUGGUUUACUUGAUAGAGAACUAUCAAAUUAGCUGACAGGAGACGCUUGGCUGUAGGAAAUUUCCUUUCAGCCUAAACAGAAUGCCUUUUACAGGCCCAGGAAGAACUUUUCCCUCCCAGGGUUUGAAGAUACUCUAGUAUAGUGAUUCUUCCAAGGACUUGCCCACACCAGGGCCAACCUGGGGCCUGACAGAUGGUGGCCUCUGCUUGUCCAGAACCUCUUUUAUAUGAGAGGAGCCAGUUUUGUGAAGAGGUGGGCUGCAUUUUACUUGAAUUGCUCUUAGACCACGAGAUCAGUGGGUUGGGAAUUCAUCAGUUCACUUGGAUGCCUUAGGUUCUUGAGACCUUCUCACACCCCUUGCAGACACAUGACAGCCUUCUUUUUUUUUUUUUUUUUUGACGGAGUCUUGCUCUGGGGCCCAGGCUAGAGUGCAGUGGCUCAAUCUCGGCUCACUGCAACCUUGGCCUCUGGAGUUCAAGUGAUUCUCCUGCCUCAGCCUCCCGAGUAGCUGGGAUUACAGGUGUCUGCCACCAUGCCUGGCUAAUUUUUUUAAAAACAUUUUUUAGUAGAGACAGGGUUUCAUCGUGUUGGCCAGGCUGGUCUCGAACUCCUGACCUCAGGUGAUCUGCCCACCUUGGCCUCUCAAAGUGCUGGGACUACAGGGGGCAGCCACCGCGCGUGGCCCCGUGACAGCUUUUAGAUCCCCCAUAUUGGCUUCUUGGCAAUCCAAGUGGGAUUUCAAGGGGGCACCUCUUUUAUAAUCAGAACACAAGGCUUAACGACUGUCUAGCUUUCAUUAGUUCAAAACACUAGUUGAACUAACAGCAAGUCUUUGCACAGAAAGAAAAAGAACUGGAAGGAAACGCAGCCAAGUGUUAAUGGUGUUUAUACUCGGGUGGUGGGUGUUUUUUCUAUCUUUAUGUAUUUCUACACUUUCUUGAAUUACCGUAUCUUAUUACAUAUAUAAUAAUUAUUUAAAAUAAUGCUAAACUAAAAAUUCAGUAUAUUGAAUAAAAGAAACAUAAUAGACUAAUUUAUUCACAGUGUUAUAAGAGAGUAAGAGGGGGCUGGGCGCAGUGGCUCAUGCCUGUAAUUAAGCACUUUGGGAGGCCGAGGUGGGCGGAUCACCUGAGGUCAGGAGUUAGAGACUAGCCUGGCCAAUAUAUAGUGAAACCCUGUCUCUACUAAAAAUACAAAAAUUAGCUGGGUGCGCUGGCACAUGUCUGUAGUCUCAGCUACUUGGGAAGCUGAGGCAGAAGAAUUGCUUGAACCCAGGAGGCAGAGGCUGCAGUGAGCUGAGACUGUGCCAAUGCACUGCAGCCUGGGUGACAGAGCAAGACUGUCUCUCAGAAAAAAAAAAAAAAAAAAAGAGUAAUAGGGAAUGUGUAGGAGAAAAAAGAACAAGGGUAAAAAUUAUUUAAAAAUUUUUUUUAGUGACUUCUACUAUCCUAAGUCCUUCACUCAAAUUAUUUUAUUUAAUCCUCAUACCAAAUCUAUGGCAAAGGUGUCAAUGUUCCCAUUUUCCAGAGGAGGAGACUGAGGCUUAGAGAGUUAAGUUAGCCAAGAUCACACAGCUAGUUGGUGGAAAAGCUGGUAUUUAAAAUCGGAUCUGAUGUCAAAGACCACAUGCAAUACAACAGUGAGGAAAAUAACAAGUCACAGAAUGUCUUGCUUUCUAGCUGUAGUUCCAAACGGCUAUGAUGCCAGGUGAGUCACUUUGCAUUUAUGAUUAAAGUCAGGGACAACAACAUCUGUCCUUUUUUCCUAUCUCAUGGGUUCUUGUGAUGCUGAAAUUAGAUCACACGUGUAAAAGAAGAGAAAACGCAAUGUCCUCCUCAAAGGAAUAUGGUAAUAUGAUAAUAUUUCAUAUAAUAUCGGUGAGUUGAGGGUUGUCACGAAUGCUCUUUGGGUACUGAUAAUUUUCAAAGAAAAACUUAUACAAAAGCAGAAUUAUUAUUAAGACUAUAUUGAAUAAAUUUGUUUUUGAUGAUUCAGAAAGUUUAACAGAAUCUGACCCUAUCCUAGUCAUCAUUAGGACCACUAAUUUUCUUGCUGAUAAUAUAUUAUGUAAAAAGCAAGGGUUACAAAUAGUACGUAUAGUAUGAUCUGAAUUUUGCAAAAACUACAUAUAUAAAUGUAAAACAGAAAUCGGAAAGAUAUACAUUGAAAUGUAAAUAAUGAUUGUGUCUAGGCGUUGGGAUCAUAAUUUUAAUUUUUUAUUUAUUAUUUUAUUUUAUUAUUAUUUUUUAGAGGCAGAGUCUCACUCUGUUGCCCAGGCUGGAGUGCAACAGCGUGAUUAUAGCUCAUUGCAACCUCAACCUCCUGGGCUCAAGCAGUCCUCCCACCUCAGCCUCCUGAGUAGCUGGGACCACAGGCAUGCAUGACCACACCUGGCUAAUUUAUUUUUUGUAGCAAUGGGGUCUUACUCUACUGUCCAGGCCGGUCUCGAACUCCUGGCCUCAAGUGAUCUUCCCACCUAGCCUCCCACAGUGCUGGGAUUACAGGCAUGAGCCAAUGCGCCUGGCCAGGAUCAUGAUUUUUUAAAAAUCUCUGAUUUUUUGAAUUUUACAAUUUUUUUUUGCAUUUUGCAUUUUGAUUUGAAUUUUGCAAAUUUUGGGGUAAUAAAUAUGUACUGUUUCUAUAAUCAGAAAAUAUGAUCCAGCCCCCUCUUCCCCACAGUACAAAAACAUCACCUUUUUCCUUGAAUAAAAC
rnacentral:lncRNA from 1 species